GGUCCUAAAAAUCAGAGGAAGCCCCAACAGAGAGAGGAAGGCAGGGGAACUCAGGAAGAAGAGGCAAAGAGAGGAAGAUGAGCAGCACCUGCCCCCACCCUCUGCUCCAACCCUCCAGCCAAUUCUUUUAGAGCCACCAAGCUUCUCCCUGCAGUCAUCCUGCCCAUGGCUGUUGAUGGCCCUGAUGGGGCUUGGAGCCCCCAGAAUGUGCAGAAGUUGGACAAAGGUGGUCUUCAAAUGCAAUGGUUGUCUUAUCACCGAAAGCCCACGGCAUCCAGAGGAGGCCCUUUACUACGAAGUUUACAGAGAGCACAGGUCUCUGUACGUCCCAAGUUUCCCCUGCUGCCAAAUGCAGGGGAGGAGAGAAUUCUGGAAGCCCACCCUGUCCCAUGGCUCCCCUGGCACAUGGAGCCACUGAAUGUCUUG
rnacentral:lncRNA from 1 species